UACGAAGGGGGCUAGCGUUGCUCGGAAUGACUGGGCGUAAAGGGCGCGUAGGCGGACUGCACAGUCAGGCGUGAAAUUCCUGGGCUUAACCUGGGGACUGCGUCUGAGACGUGUGAUCUAGAGUAAGGAAGAGGGUCGUGGAAUUUCCAGUGUAGAGGUGAAAUUCGUAGAGAUUGGAAAGAACACCGGUGGCGAAGGCGGCGACCUGGUCCUUGACUGACGCUGAGGCGCGAAAGAGUGGGGAGCAAACAGG
rnacentral:rRNA from 1 species